rnacentral:lncRNA from 1 species
AUGGGAGAAGGUGGGACACCUAAAUGGAUAAGAUCUAGGCGUGCGCCACCUUGUGGAUAGGAUGAGAGGAUAAGGCUUUAUCCUAUUUGAAUUUGAUUUUAAGUUUGAAGAGUUCAAAUUUGAGAUGAGGAUAAAGCACCAUUUAAAUUUAAACAAAACUUAUCCACUUGUGGAUGAGGAUAAAGGUUAUCACCCUAUUUAAAUUCAAGUUUAAAUUUGAAGAGUUCAAAUUUAAAUGAGG